CACGUAGGGUGCGAGCGUUGUCCGGAAUUAUUGGGCGUAAAGAGCGUGUAGGCGGCCAGGUAGGUCUGCUGUGAAAACUCGAGGCUUAACCUCGAGAUGUCGGCGGAAACCAUCUGGCUAGAGUCCGGAAGAGGAGAGUGGAAUUCCUGGUGUAGCGGUGAAAUGACGCAGAUAUCAGGAAGAACACCCGUGGCGAAGGCGGCUCUCUGGGACGGUACUGACGCUGAGACGCGAAAGCGUGGGGAGCGAACAG
rnacentral:rRNA from 1 species